CCUACGGGUGACAGCAGUGGGGAAUAUUGCACAAUGGGGGAAACCCUGAUGCAGCGACGCCGCGUGAGGGAUGAAGUAUUUCGGUACGUAAAGCUCUAUCAGCAGGGACGAAAGAAGACGGUACCUGACUAAGAAGCCUCGGCGAACUACGGGCCAGCAGCAGCGGUAAUACGUAGGGGGCAAGCGUUAUCCGGAUGGACUGGGUGUAAGGGGAACGUAGACGGCAAGGCAAGCCAGAAGUGAAAGGGCAGGGCUCAACCCUGUACAUGCAUGUGGAACUGUGGUUCUAGAGUGCAGGAGAGGUAUGUAGAAUUCCUGGUGUAGCGGUGAAAUGCGUAGAUAUUAGGAGGAACACCAGUAGCGAAGGCGGCUAACUGGACUGUAACUGACGCUGAGGCUCGAAAGCGUGGGGAGCAAACAGGAUUAGAUACCCUUGUAGUC
rnacentral:rRNA from 1 species